rnacentral:rRNA from 1 species
AUGACCCACACUGAUGUACCGGUUGAUAACAAGAAAUUAUGGAAGCUCAAAAUUCCCCUAAGAGUGAAGAUAUUCCUCUGGUUUUUAAACAGAGGGGUCAUCUUAACUAGAGAUAACUUGGCACGACGCAACUGGCAAGGUAGCAAGACAUGUGUCUUUUGCCAACAUGACGAGUCCAUCAAACACUUAUUUUUUGAGCGUAAGUUUACUCGUGUAGUCUGGGUCAUAGUUCUAGUAGCUUCAAAUCUAUAUCCUCCAUGUACUGCGCGUAACAUGUUCGGCUAUUGGUUGCGGGGUAUCAAUAAACAAUUUUCUGCACAUCUACUCGUGGGAGCAGUUGCCUUAUGUUAGGCACUGUGGCUCACCAGAAAUGAUGUGAUUUUUAACAAUAAAUGUGUUUCAUCUCCUGUGCAGGUUAUCCAUGCGUGUACGCGAUGGCUCCGUAUGUGGUCUAUCCUGCAGAGGUCGGAGGACAGAGACAUUUUUAUGAUGCGUCUACGGCUGGAGCAUACAGCCAGUGAGGUUUUCUCCUAA